UUAAAUUGAAGAGUUUGAUCAUGGCUCAGAUUGAACGCUGGCGGCAGGCCUAACACAUGCAAGUCGAACGGUAACAGAAAGCAGCUUGCUGCUUUGCUGACGAGUGGCGGACGGGUGAGUAAUGUCUGGGAAACUGCCUGAUGGAGGGGGAUAACUACUGGAAACGGUAGCUAAUACCGCAUAACGUCGCAAGACCAAAGAGGGGGACCUUCGGGCCUCUUGCCAUCGGAUGUGCCCA
rnacentral:rRNA from 1 species